rnacentral:rRNA from 1 species
CCCUUAGAUGUUCUGGGCUGCACGCGCGCUACACUGAUGCAUGCAACGAGUUUUCGACCUUGCCUGAAAAGGUUGGGUAAUCUGUUUAACAUGUGUCGUGAUGGGGAUAGACCAUUGCAAUUAUUGAUCUUCAACGAGGAAUUCCCAGUAAGCGCGAGUCAUCAGCUCGCGUUGAUUACGUCCCUGCCCUUUGUACACACCGCCCGUCGCUACUACCGAUUGGAUGGUUUAGUGAGACCCUCGGAUCGGUCCCGACUCGGGGUGGGCUUCUGCCCCGGUCGUGGUUUCGCCGAGAAGACGGUCAAACUUGACUAUCUAGAGGAAGUAAAAGUCGUAACA